CCUACGGGAGGCAGCAGUGGGGAAUUUUGGACAAUGGACGCAAGUCUGAUCCAGCCAUGCCGCGUGCGGGAAGAAGGCCUUCGGGUUGUAAACCGCUUUUGUCAGGGAAGAAAAGGUUCUGGUUAAUACCUGGGACUCAUGACGGUACCUGAAGAAUAAGCACCGGCUAACUACGUGCCAGCAGCCGCGGUAAUACGUAGGGUGCAAGCGUUAAUCGGAAUUACUGGGCGUAAAGCGUGCGCAGGCGGUUAUGCAAGACAGAUGUGAAAUCCCCGGGCUCAACCUGGGAACUGCAUUUGUGACUGCAUAGCUAGAGUACGGUAGAGGGGGGAUGGAAUUCCGCGUGUAGCAGUGAAAUGCGUAGAUAUGCGGAGGAACACCGAUGGCGAAGGCAAUCCCCUGGACCUGUACUGACGCUCAUGCACGAAAGCGUGGGGAGCAAACAGGAUUAGAUACCCUGGUAGUCCACGCCCUAAACGAUGUCAACUGGUUGUUGGGAGGGUUUCUUCUCAGUAACGAAGCUAACGCGUGAAGUUGACCGCCUGGGGAGUCGGCCGCAAGGUUGAAACGUCAAAUGAAAUUGACCGGNUGAGAGUGCGACGGACGACGACGAGGGAGGAGG
rnacentral:rRNA from 1 species